rnacentral:rRNA from 1 species
AUUGAACGCUGGCGGCAGGCCUAACACAUGCAAGUCGAACGAGUGGCGGACGGGUGAGUAAUGUCUGGGAAACUGCCUGAUGGAGGGGGAUAACUACUGGAAACGGUAGCUAAUACCGCAUACCAUCGGAUGUGCCCAGAUGGGAUUAGCUAGUAGGUGGGGUAAAGGCUCACCUAGGCGACGAGCCCUAGCUGGUCUGAGCGGUUGACCAGCCACGCUGGAGCUGGGACACGGUCGCGACACCUACGGCAGGCAGCAUUGGGGAAUAUGUCACCAUUGGCGCUAGUCUGAUGCAUCUAUGCCGCGUGUAUGAAGAAAACCUAUGGGUUUUAAAGUACUUUCAGCGGGGAGGCGUUACCCGGAGGAGAAGCACCAGCUAACUCCGUGCCAGCAGGCGCAGUAAUAG